rnacentral:rRNA from 1 species
UAAGGAAUAUUGGUCAAUGGACGCAAGUCUGAACCAGCCAUGCCGCGUGGAGGAUUAAGGCCCUCUGGGUUGUAAACUCCUUUUAUCUGGGAAGAAAUGUACUUUUUCUUGAGUACUUGACGGUACCAGAGGAAUAAGCACCGGCUAACUCCGUGCCAGCAGCCGCGGUAAUACGGAGGGUGCAAGCGUUAUCCGGAUUCACUGGGUUUAAAGGGUGCGUAGGUGGGCAGGUAAGUCAGUGGUGAAAUCUCCGGGCUUAACCCGGAAACUGCCGUUGAUACUAUUUGUCUUGAAUAUUGUGGAGGUAAGCGGAAUAUGUCAUGUAGCGGUGAAAUGCUUAGAUACGACAUAGAACACCAAUUGCGAAGGCAGCUUACUACACAAUCAUUGACGCUGAGGCACGAAAGCGUGGGGAUCAAACA